CUUCCUCCUUCAGCUCAGCUCAACUCUCCAACAUUACCUCUGCUCAACAUGCUGUCUCUGCUCACAUCUGGAUUCACUCUGCUGGUUCUGAUCACUGGAUCAGGUGUAAACUGUCAACAACUCACUGCAGCGAAGACUGAGGAGUUCAGUUCAGAGGGCAGCUCUGUUACUCUGACCUGUAGUUACACCAACAAGAUAGCUCUUGGUGAUGAUUUCUUUUGGUAUCAGCAAAAUCCUGGAAAACCUCCAGAGUUCAUCUUCUACGUCUCAGGACUCAACAACUCAAGAUCAGCAGAGUCUCUGAAAUCAUUAACAAGAUUCUCCACUUACCUGAGAGGAGAGAAACACCUGGAUCUGCUGAUCUCCUCUGCUGCAGUGACAGACUCUGCUGUGUACUACAGCGCUGUGAGGCCCACAGUGACAGGAAACACC